rnacentral:rRNA from 1 species
AUUGAACGCUGGCGGCAUGCCUUACACAUGCAAGUCGAACGGCAGCAUGGGUGCUUGCACCUGGUGGCGAGUGGCGAACGGGUGAGUAAUACAUCGGAACAUGUCCUGUAGUGGGGGAUAGCCCGGCGAAAGCCGGAUUAAUACCGCAUACGAUCUACGGAUGAAAGCGGGGGACCUUCGGGCCUCGCGCUAUAGGGUUGGCCGAUGGCUGAUUAGCUAGUUGGUGGGGUAAAGGCCUACCAAGGCGACGAUCAGUAGCUGGUCUGAGAGGACGACCAGCCACACUGGGACUGAGACACGGCCCAGACUCCUACGGGAGGCAGCAGUGGGGAAUUUUGGACAAUGGGCGAAAGCCUGAUCCAGCAAUGCCGCGUGUGUGAAGAAGGCCUUCGGGUUGUAAAGCACUUUUGUCCGGAAAGAAAUCCUUGGCCCUAAUACGGUCGGGGGAUGACGGUACCGGAAGAAUAAGCACCGGCUAACUACGUG